AUUGGUCUCACUGAGACCGAUGGUGCCUGGAAAUGGGUGGAUGGCACAGACUAUAGGAACAGCUACAAGAACUGGGCUUUUGGUGCAACGCUGGGCCUGUGAGAUGAGACGGAACAUCACCAGCUAGGAUGCCUGGCGCCAGCAGACCUCUACCUGCACCCCUCCCACCCCGCUCCCAGCUUCUCUUCUGGGGAUUUGGAAGACAAGAGAAAUAGUCAGAGGCAUGGGGAGGAGUUGAGGGAAGAUGGAAGAAAAUGGUUGAAGAACCUC